GACGAACGCUGGCGGCGUGCUUAACACAUGCAAGUCGAACGGAAAGGCCCUGCUUUUGUGGGGUGCUCGAGUGGCGAACGGGUGAGUAACACGUGAGUAACCUGCCCUUGACUUUGGGAUAACUUCAGGAAACUGGGGCUAAUACCGGAUAGGAGCUCCUGCUGCAUGGUGGGGGUUGGACAGUUUCGGCGGUUGGGGAUGGACUCGCGGAUUAUCAGCUUGUUGGUGGGGUAGUGGCUUACCAAGGCUUUGACGGGUAGCCGGCCUGAGAGGGUGACCGGCCACAUUGGGACUGAGAUACGGCCCAGACUCCUACGGGAGGCAGCAGUGGGGAAUAUUGCACAAUGGGCGGAAGCCUGAUGCAGCAACGCCGCGUGCGGGAUGACGGCCUUCGGGUUGUAAACCGCUUUCGCCUGUGACGAAGCGUGAGUGACGGUAAUGGGUAAAGAAGCACCGGCUAACUACGUG
rnacentral:rRNA from 1 species